CCUACGGGGGGCUGCAGUGGGGAAUAUUGCACAAUGGGGGAAACCCUGAUGCAGCGACGCCGCGUGAAGGAUGAAGUAUUUCGGUAUGUAAACUUCUAUCAGCAGGGAAGAAAAAGACGGUACCUGACUAAGAAGCCCCUGCUAACAACGUGCCAGCAGCCGCGGUAAUACGUAGGGGGCAAGCGUUAUCCGGAUUUACUGGGUGUAAAGGGAGCGUAGACGGUAUGGCAAGUCUGAUGUGAAAACCCGGGGCUUAACCCCGGGACUGCAUUGGAAACUGUGAGGCUAGAGUGUGGGAGAGGCAAGUGGAAUUCCUGGUGUAGCGGUGAAAUGCGUAGAUAUCAGGAGGAACACCAGUGGCGAAGGCGGCUUGCUGGUCGAUAACUGACGUUGAGGCUCGAAAGCGUGGGGAGCAAACAGGAUUAGAUACCCUAGUAGUC
rnacentral:rRNA from 1 species